CCGCGUGUCAGCGUUAUGAAUAUUAUUACGAGUCGUUUCUAUAUUAUAAUGACGUUGAUUUAUCGAAUUCUCCAUACGUAAACGAUAUUUUAUCGUAUUUUUUUCUACGUGACGGUCAUUUAGGAUCCAUAUAUGCGCGUGAGCUUCAGGCUUGUGAUUCUUUCUCACUAUUAAACAUCACGAGAAAUAGAUGUUGGAUGAUUAUUGGUAGGAUCGUUACAGUGGUGCGAUCAGGAUUUAUUUUCGGAAGGGGUUUUAUCAAUUUGAAAAAAAAAAAAUCAAUUUUGGCUGGUGUUUGGUGGGGUAGAGAGGGUAAGGUUUAAUUAGGUUUAUGAAUAAAAUCUUUAAAUUGUUAAUUUUCAUUUAUAGACAACGCAUAUUGGAAAACAAUUU